rnacentral:lncRNA from 1 species
UUCUUUUUCCCUCUCACAUCAAUCACUUCUCACUCUCUACUUAUCUCUUAACACCCGAUAAAUUUUACACAGUAUCCGGAAUUUAACCUAAUUGGCCGAAUUUUUCCGAACUUUUCACACUAGUGGGUCCCACGUCCGAUAUACGUUCUUAAUUUCUCAAAAACUAACUAAUACUAGAAAAAUCAUCUAAAAACUAUAUUUACUCAUAAAAAUUAUCUGGGGAAUUUUCUAAUAAAGAAAAUGUAGGAAAAAAACGGGUUUUCAAUCUUAACCGGAACUUAGGGUUUAAAUCUUAAUUCCUACUUAGGGUUUUCGAAAUACUCCCAAAACCAAACGUUACCGCCAAAUUAAUGAAUAUAUCAACGUAGUACGAACUGGGGCCUCACAAUCUCCCCUCCUUAAAAGAAUUUCGUCCUCGAAAUUCCAACUUGCACUAAUCAGAUCAAAUAAUCCUCAAAAGCAGUCAAGUACACAACAGGCAAUGCCUCAAAAGUUCAACCACUCGAGUAGUAGCCGGUCUACAACCACACAAGUACGAAUAAAUUCAAAAGCCGGGUUCAAACAAAUAAGCUCAAAAGAUUAUACUCAAAUAUACAUAUUUUUACAAAGUCACACUAAAAAUAUACAAGUUAUCCGACAUCCGGUCGGUGCAAAAUCCAUUAUUUACGUGAGCACUACGGCUCCAAAAAUGUAGUCAAUCACUGGGUAACAAAAGAAGCCAGGCAUAUUGGUUAUAACAAAAUAAACAUGGCAGAUAUAACAAAUUAAACAUAUCAGAUAGUCAAAAGGAAAUUCCAUCAACGGUCCUACACGCCUCCCCUACGGAACCUACCUAAUCCACCAGCACCGCCCCGGCGGCCCUAGGGUGCAAACCUAAAGAAUAGGUCCAAAUAGCUAACUUCAAUAUUAAGUAAGAACCAAAUCGAUUCACACUGGGACUGGCCAUCUCCAAGUGCAAUCAACUCAAUCCCCACUUUGCCUUAUGGAAAAUUACAAAAGUGAAUAUCAAAAUCUUAGCAUUCAAUAUUUACCUUAAUAGCCAAGUAUCCCACAGUCCGGCAUCCUAAACUUCAAGCCUAGGAUACACUACAGAGAUCGAAAGCCUAAGCUCUGAUACCAACUGUGACGACCCCACUUCUCCCAAGGGCGAACCCAAGGGUAUCGGCGGGCCGCCUGCCUAGCUCGCGCCAGGACUCAAAACUUAAAGUUCGAAAGAGCACUAAAUACAAUAUAUACAACCCCAAAAGAGUUAUAAUUACAUUCUCCAAAAGUAUCGAGUCAAACCACCAAAACAAAAACAAACAUCCUAACUGUUCAACUAUUACAAGCCAAUCUAACUAUACUAGUAUACGAGCCAAAAGUCCCCGCGUCGGCCCCUGUUAAGGAAAACAAAAGGAAUGGGGUAAGCUAUAUGCUUAGUAAGUAAACAGGGGCGAAAGCAUAAAUUUCACGUAACAGUUACACAAUAAGAGUAAAGCAAAAGCAGAAAAGUAACAUCACAUAAUAAGGAUACAGGUGGCUCCAAAGCCAACUCAUGUGCCAUGCGUGAUCUCCUGCCGACACUCCGUCGACUGCAAAUAAUAGUCCGUAGAACUUCACUUGUACACCCACCGACACCUUAUCACCCUCACUGGCCAGUCACCUCACAAACUUGCCCGGGCGAACGAAAUCACAAACUUGAGCUUGAGUCACAAGCUCGGGUCACAAACUUGGUCACCUUCUCGGUGAACCGGAUUCACAAAAUUGGUUCAUAACAUGAACCUACAAACUUGGUGACCUCAGACUAAGUUGGACUGACUUCGACCAACCCUAACCGGCUCGAAUAGUCCAACCAGGUCAAGAGUUCGCCCCAAACUCACAAACUUCACAAAAUUAUUCAAAAUCACAAACUUUGCAAACUUCACAAACUUUAUUCGAAAGUCGCCCCGAGCCACAAGCUCAAGGGUUUUGGUUCCAAAAGGUUCAUAUACAUAUGCCAAGUACAAUUAUACAUUCAAAUUAGGGUUUAGGUCGAGUGCGAUAAAGUACACCCUCGCCUAAGUGCCCUUUUCACAUAUCUCAAACACAUAGCAAAGAAAACACACCAAACCGGCCUGAAUACUUACUCAAAAUACCAAAAGUAGUACGAAAGCAAAAUCGCUUCGCGCGUUCGCUAGUAGUGGGCCCCACCGGCUCCGCCUAGCUCACCGCUGUCUGAAAUAGAAGAUUUUAUCACAAACGGCCACUAACAUGCCCAAAACAAGCAAAACGGCAAAACAACACGCGCGCACGUAAAUAUGACAGACGGAAACGGAAACGGCAGAUUUGACACUCGUUUCUAGUUUACUCAUAAGUUGAGCUACGAAUAUUGGAUUAAGGCGUAUGAGACGCCAUAUCGAAGCUUAAAGGAUGAACAACAACUGUUAUGAAGACAUCCAGAACUGAAACUAGAGGCUUUAGUCCCAAAUGAACCAAACACAAUCACUUACGAAAUCUGGCCAAUGCACAAAUGGUCAGUUUUGAGUGCUAACUGUUUUCUAUGCUACACAUGGUCAAAAGAGCUGAAAAUUGGCAGUUAGAUAGUUCAUUCCAAAUGGAACAACUUUCAUGAAGGUCGGCAAUCCAAAUUCGGAACGGAAAUUGGUCAUCAGGACCAAAACAGAUUUCUGGUCAUUUUCACGGGCAGGCCUUGUUUGCUCGGCUAUAUCUCAGGUUUUAUAAAUCCGAUUCAUGAAAUUCCAAGGGCGUUAGAAAGCUCUGAUAUAGGGUUAUAAGUUUGGUGUUUUGGUCGGAAGCCCAAACAGCUUGUAACUCAGUCAAAUGUGAAGUCAAAGUUCCAGCCAUAAACUUUCCAAAAACGUACCAGAAUCACAAACCGUAUUUGACCUCAAUAUGCGGUAAUGGCACCAAAUUCACUACGGUUAUCGGAUGGGGGUGUAAGACCCACCGUUUCGAAGCUAAGAAACAGGGGUACAACAAUGUAGAAGGCCACUCAGUCCAAAUCCUAGCACAACUAGGUCAAAUAUGCAAAAUACGAAACCAGAAUUACCAAAACAGGUUUGCAAAACACAGAAAACUGUAAUCGGUAUAUCUCAGUCCAUACAAGUCCAAAUGCCGAAAUUCCAAAGGCAUAUGUUAGCUAAGACAUCUAGCUACAUUUCAUCAGAAGACACCAACUUCAAAAUCCAAACCAAUUCCAGUCAAAAUGGCCAAUUACCAGUACAGUUUUCGCAUUCUGUCCAAAGCAGAACAGCUACAGUAAUUUCGUCAUAUCUCAUUCUACACUAAACCAAAUGACCUGAAAUUUUACAGGCACCUCAAACACAUCAAUACCUACAACUUUCAUGUUUUGAGCAAAGUCAAAUUCGGCCUCUAUCUAUGACCAAAAUUUCGGACAGAAUGUUCAACCAAGAACCCUAAUUUUCCAGAAAUUCUUCCAAAUUCAAAAUUGAUUGCAAUUUCCUAUCAAAUGCACCUACUAGAGCCAAAACCCCUUAUUACCAACCAUCAAAAACAACCACACCAUCAAGAUCAUAUGAAACCAGAAAAUUCCAAAAAUAAAAAAUAAAAACUCAACCAAUCAUUCCAAACCAUGAAAUAAACCACAAUUUCUAACACAAUAGCCACCAUUAGGCAUAAAUUCAACAUCAUUAGAUAUAGGAGGGUGUUCAUAUACCACUUACCAAGUAACCAAGAGAGAGGAAGAUGUUGGACACCUUAAGUCUUCAAACAAACUUCAAUAGACCACUCACAAGCACCCAAAGGAUAGAUUUUAUGGAGUAGAAUCUAAGUUAUGUGGUUGGUUUUGGAAGAUUGAGUGAAAUGGAAGCUUGAAAGUUGAAGAAUUUCUUUCUUCUUGAGCUUGAGAGGUUCGGCCAUCAAGAGGUGAAAAAUGGUGAUUUUUUUGUGAAUUUUUGGAGAUAUUAACUAAUUUUGGUCAAAAGUCAAAAAUGUGAAUAGUAAAGUCCAACCAAUCAUAUUGUGACACUUGUCACACUCAUUAAUGCAUUCUUAUCUUUCUUUUUCCCUCUCACAUCAAUCACUUCUCACUCUCUACUUAUCUCUUAACACCCGAUAAAUUUUACACAGUAUCCGGAAUUUAACCUAAUUGGCCGAAUUUUUCCGAACUUUUCGCACUAGUGGGUCCCACGUCCGAUAUACGUUCUUAAUUUCUCAAAAACUAACUAAUACUAGAAAAAUCAUCUAAAAACUAUAUUUACUCAUAAAAAUUAUCUGGGGAAUUUUCUAAUAAAGAAAAUGUAGAAAAAAACGGGUUUUCAAUCUUAACCGGAACUUAGGGUUUAAAUCUUAAUUCCUACUUAGGGUUUUCGAAAUACUCCCAAAACCAAACGUUACCGCCAAAUUAAUGAAUAUAUCAACGUAGUACGAACUGGGGCCUCACAAUCUCCCCUCCUUAAAAGAAUUUCGUCCUCGAAAUUCCAACUUGCACUAAUCAGAUCAAAUAAUCCUCAAAAGCAGUCAAGUACACAACAGGCAAUGCCUCAAAAGUUCAACCACUCGAGUAGUAGCCGGUCUACAACCACACAAGUACGAAUAAAUUCAAAAGCCGGGUUCAAACAAAUAAGCUCAAAAGAUUAUACUCAAAUAUACAUAUUUUUACAAAGUCACACUAAAAAUAUACAAGUUAUCCGACAUCCGGUCGGUGCAAAAUCCAUUAUUUACGUGAGCACUACGGCUCCAAAAAUGUAGUCAAUCACUGGGUAACAAAAGAAGCCAGGCAUAUGGUUAUAACAAAAUAAACAUGGCAGAUAUAACAAAUUAAACAUAUCAGAUAGUCAAAAGGAAAUUCCAUCAACGGUCCUACACGCCUCCCCUACGGAACCUACCUAAUCCACCAGCACCGCCCCGGCGGCCCUAGGGUGCAAACCUAAAGAAUAGGUCCAAAUAGCUAACUUCAAUAUUAAGUAAGAACCAAAUCGAUUCACACUGGGACUGGCCAUCUCCAAGUGCAAUCAACUCAAUCCCCACUUUGCCUUAUGGAAAAUUACAAAAGUCAAUAUCAAAAUCUUAGCAUUCAAUAUUUACCUUAAUAGCCAAGUAUCCCACAGUCCGGCAUCCUAAACUUCAAGCCUAGGAUACACUACAGAGAUCGAAAGCCUAAGCUCUGAUACCAACUGUGACGACCCCACUUCUCCCAAGGGCGAACCCAAGGGUAUCGGCGG